UACGAAGGGGGCAAGCGUUGUUCGGAAUCACUGGGCGUAAAGCGCGCGCAGGCGGUUCGGUAAGACGGGGGUGAAAUCCCAGGGCUCAACCUUGGAACUGCAUUCUUUACUGCCGGUCUAGAGUAUGGCAGAGGGGGGUGGAAUUCCGCGUGUAGCGGUGAAAUGCGUAGAUAUUAGGAGGAACACCGGUGGCGAAGGCGGCUCCCUGGGAUGAUACUGACGCUCAGGUACGAAAGCGUGGGGAGCAAACAGG
rnacentral:rRNA from 1 species